rnacentral:rRNA from 1 species
AUUGAACGCUGGCGGUAUGCUUAACACAUGCAAGUCGAACGGUAACAGGCCUUCGGGCGCUGACGAGUGGCGGACGGGUGAGUAACGCGUAGGAAUCUGCCUCAUAGUGGGGGACAACGUGGGGAAACUCACGCUAAUACCGCAUACGCCCUACGGGGAAAGCGGGGAUCUUCGGACCUCGCGCUAUGAGAUGAGCCUGCGUUAGAUUAGCUAGUUGGUAGGGUAAAGGCCUACCAAGGCGACGAUCUAUAGCUGGUCUGAGAGGACGAUCAGCCACACUGGGACUGAGACACGGCCCAGACUCCUACGGGAGGCAGCAGUGGGGAAUAUUGGACAAUGGGCGCAAGCCUGAUCCAGCAAUACCGCGUGUGUGAAGAAGGCCCUAGGGUUGUAAAGCACUUUCAAUUGGGAGGAAAACCUGCCGGUCAAUACCCGGCAGCUUGACAUUACCUUUAGAAGAAGCACCGGCUAACUCCGUGCCAGCAGCCGCGGUAA